rnacentral:rRNA from 1 species
AUUGAACGCUGGCGGCAGGCCUAACACAUGCAAGUCGAACGGUAACAGGAAGCAGCUUGCUGCUUCGCUGACGAGUGGCGGACGGGUGAGUAAUGUCUGGGAAACUGCCUGAUGGAGGGGGAUAACUACUGGAAACGGUAGCUAAUACCGCAUAACGUCGCAAGACCAAAGAGGGGGACCUUAGGGCCUCUUGCCAUCGGAUGUGCCCAGAUGGGAUUAGCUAGUAGGUGGGGUAACGGCUCACCUAGGCGACGAUCCCUAGCUGGUCUGAGAGGAUGACCAGCCACACUGGAACUGAGACACGGUCCAGACUCCUACGGGAGGCAGCAGUGGGGAAUAUUGCACAAUGGGCGCAAGCCUGAUGCAGCCAUGCCGCGUGUAUGAAGAAGGCCUUCGGGUUGUAAAGUACUUUCAGCGGGGAGGAAGGGAGUAAAGUUAAUACCUUUGCUCAUUGACGUUAUCCGCAGAAGAAGCACCGGCUAACUCCGUG